CUGCGAGGCUGGGCCUGGAGCCUCGCUUCUUUCAGGCUUGAUUUACGCUCCUAGUAGUUAAAAUGCUCAGUUUCUGUGUACUUUACCCCAGUGCAAAAAACUAAAAAAGCAGCGAUGGAGGCGAUGGGGAUCACUGUGAACAGGAGGCCUGGAACUCGCAGUGCUCAGAAGACAGGAAAUUCUGCUGCAUCACCAGAAGAGAAAAGCCAUUGCCUUCUGAUGGGCAAACUCAACUUCUGCACUGCCUGACUGCGGCCUUUCCUGCUCAGAACACCCUUGGAUGAGCACGGAAGGCACCGCCAGAGACAGUUGCUUCCUGGGAAAAAUAUUUAGAUGGAGGAGAAGAGAUGAUUUUCUCUCCUGA